GAUGAACGCUGGCGGCGUGCCUAAUACAUGCAAGUCGAGCGAACGGACGAGAAGCUUGCUUCUCUGAUGUUAGCGGCGGACGGGUGAGUAACACGUGGAUAACCUACCUAUAAGACUGGGAUAACUUCGGGAAACCGGAGCUAAUACCGGAUGAUAUUUUGAACCGCAUGGUUCAAAAGUGAAAGACGGUCUUGCUGUCACUUAUAGAUGGAUCCGCGCUCCAUUAGCUAGUUGGUAAGGUAACGGCUUGCCAAGGCAACGAUGCAUAGCCGACCUGAGAGGGUGAUCGGCCACACUGGAACUGAGACACGGUCCAGACUCCUACGGGAGGCAGCAGUAGGGAAUCUUCCGCAAAGGGCGAAAGCCUGACGGAGCAACGCCGCGUGAGUGAUGAAGGUCUUCGGAUCGUAAAACUCUGUUAUUAGAGAAGAACAUAUGUGUAAGUAACUGUGCACAUCUUGACGGUACCUAAUCAGAAAGCCACGGCUAACUACGUG
rnacentral:rRNA from 1 species